rnacentral:rRNA from 1 species
CCUACGGGUGGCUGCAGUGGGGGAUAUUGCACAAUGGGGGAAACCCUGAUGCAGCAACGCCGCGUGUGGGAAGAAGGUUUUCGGAUUUUAAACCACUGUUCAUGGUGAAGAUAAUGACGGUAACCAAGGAGAAAGCUCCGGCUAACUACGUGCCAGCAGCCCCGGGACUACGGAGGAAGCAAGCGUUAUCCGGAUUUACUGGGUGUAAAGGGUGCGUAGGCGGUCUUGCAAGUCAGACGUGAAAACCAUAGGCCCAACCUGAGGACUGCGGUUGAAACUGUGGGGCUUGAGUAAAGUAGAGGUAGGCGGAAUUCCCGGUGUAGCGGUGAAAUGCGUAGAGAUCGCGAGGAACACCAGUGGCGAAGGCAGCCUACUGGGCUUUAACUGACGCUGAGGCACGAAAGUAUGGGUAGCAAACAGGAUUAGAUACCCGUGUAGUC